UAUAGUAUGUUAGUGAUUAUUAUUUAGUUUUUUAACUCUUUAAUUCUAGAAUUCCUUAAAUAAACAAAUGAAUAACUGAUCGAUUAUAGAAUUGAAAUUAGGGUUAAUUAGGGUUAAUUAGGGUUAAUUGAAAAUUAGGUUGAGUCAAUUUUAGUGUUAUCAUCAAUUAGGGUGGGAUCAAAUGGUUAAGGUUAGGGUAAGGUUAGAAUUAGGAUUAAUCCAAUUAGGGUUGAGUGUGAUUAGGAUUAAUUAAAAAUUAGGGUUAACAAAUGGUUAAGGUUAGGGUUAAAUCAAAGUUAGGGUUAGUAAAUCUAGGGUUGGGAUUAAUUUAACAUUGGGUAAACUAGGGUUACUUACAAUUAGGGUUAACCAAUCAAGGGUUAACUAAAAUUAGGGUUGGAUGAAAUGGUUAAGAUUAGGGUUAGAUUAGAAGUUGGAUCAAUUAAAUUAUGAUUAUAUUAAUUUAACAUUGGGUAAACUAGGGUUACUUACAAUUAGGGUUAACCAAUUAAGGGUUGACUGAAAUUAGGGUUGGAUGAAAUGGUUAAGAUUAGGGUUAGAUUAGAAAUUGGAGUCAUUGAAUUAUGGUUAAGUGGAAUUAGGGUAAAAUUAAAAUUAGGGUGGACAAAUGGUUAAGGUUAGGGUAAGGUUAAAAUUAGGAUUAAUCCAAUUAGGGUUGAGUGUGAUUAGGAUUAAUUAAAAAUUAGGGUUAACAAAUGGUUAAGGUUAGGGUUAAAUCAAAGUUAGGGUUAGUAAAUCUAGGGUUGGGAUUAGGUUAACAUUGGGUAAACUAGGGUUACUUACAGUUUGGUGAAAUGGUUAAGGUUAGGGUUAAAUUAGAAUUUGGAUUAGUUGAAUUAGGGUUAAAUGGAAUCAGGGUAUAAUUAAAAUUUAAAUUAGGGUGAAGAUUAGAGUUAAAUUAGAAUUAGGAUUAUUUAGGGUUAACUGAAUUUAGGUUGGGAUCAAAUGGUUAGGUUAAAUAAGCAGUAAUAUGCAUGUGUAUCUAAAUAAAUUUUCUAAUCCUAAAAAAUGUUUUUGUAAUUUUCUUCUGUCAAUUGUCCCUCAUAAUUUCAACCCAUCUUUUUAUUUAACCCAUAUGGUUGUUUUGUCGCUAAUUUAUGUAUCCAUUGUCUUUCUCUACAUUUUCUUUCUAAAUCUGUCCAAUUAAAGUUUUUUUGUAAUCCAGCCAUUCGUAAUGACUCUAAUCCAUGUAUUAGGAAAUGCUGUACCAGGGGUGUGUCCAUUUCUUUUUUAUUUUUAAUAUUAUACCUAUGCUGUGUAAUUCGUGCUGAUAACGAAUUCUUUGUUUCCCCUACAUAUUUAAUCCCACAUUUAUUACAAAUUAUUAAAUAAAUACAAUUUGUGGACCUCGCAGUAAAUGUUUGUUCAAUUUUUAUGAUAGUUUUCUCCACUGUGUUUUUGAUAAAUUUUAGUUUCAACAAUUGUUUAUCUAGUAAUAAUUGUUUUUGUGUUAAUAGUGAUGGUAAUUUGGCUCUGACUAACAAAUCUUUCAAAUUCUUAUUCCUCCUAUAUGCCGAGAUUAUGUUAAAUUUUGGGAUUCCUGUAGUCGUUUCCGAAAUUUCCUGCAAAUUUCGUUUUAUUUUAUUGUGUAGUACCUUGCCUACUGUACAGAAAUUUGUAAUGAGAGGAAUAACAUUUUCUUUCGUUUGUUUUUUGUUGAGAAAUGUUUUCAGAUGAUUUCUUAAAUAUGAUCUCGAAUACCCUCUUUUUCGUAGGGUAUCAAAUAAGAUCUUCACCGCUUCCCUAAAAUCCUCCUCCCUCGUGCAGAUUCGGUGAAAGCGCAGAAUCUGGGAUUUUACAAUUCCUUUAAAAGUAUGAUUUGGAUGGAAGCUAAAUUUAUGCAAUAAUGCGUGAGUAUCUGUUGCCUUGAAAUACACUUUAAUAUCCAAUCGAUGAUUUUCCUGAAAAUUGGGUCCCUUAAAUAUUGUAGUAUCUAAAAAGUCAAUAGAAUUUUGCUUAAUUUCUGCUUUAAGUUUAAUUGAUGGAUCCUGUGAAUUUAGUGUUUCCUUGAAAUUUUCAAAUUCUUGUUUAGUCCCUAUCCAUAAUCCCCAAAUGUCGUCCAAAUACCGUAGAUAACUAGCCGGUUUCUUUUCACAUUUGGCCAGUGCUUUUUCUUCCCAGUUGGCCAUAAAAAUAUUGGCAUAUGCUGGAGCAAAUUUUUUACCCAUUGCUGUUCCCUUAAUUUGCAAAUAAUAUUUUUCAUUGAAUACAAAGUCAUUUCUAGUUAAAUUAAUUUCUAAUAAUUGUAAUAAUUCAUCAUCUGGUCUGUUUGGAUCUGGGUAUUUCUGGAAAAUUUGUUUUACACAUUCAAUUCCUGCCGGAAUAGGAAUAUUUGUAUAUAAACUGUUAACAUCCAUCGAAAAAAACCAAAAGUCCGAGGUUAUUGUAACGUCUUUUACCAUCUCUAUAAAAUGGUAUGUGUCUCUCACAUAGGAUGGAUGUUUGAUCGAAAGUGGAUUUAGAUAAUGAUCCAAAUAUUCUGCGGUGAAAUAUGUAUCACUCCCACAGUCUGAUACUAUGGGUCUCCCUGGGGGAAUUUCAAAUGGAAUUGUCCAUUUCUCCGGACUUUUAUGAAUUUUUGGGAGAAUAUAAAAUCUCCUCUCUCUUGGUUCUGAGGUUCCAAGUAGGUACUGUUUUUGUUUUCCAUUGAUAAAUUUUUUCUUUUUUAGAUUGUUUAUAAUUUCCUUUAUUUUUGGUAGUGUUUCUCUAUAAAUGGGUUUUUCCAAUUUUUUGUAAUAUUCUGUGUCAUUCAAUUGUCUUUCUACUUCCAUUAUAUAUUGUUCUCUACUUAGAAUCACUACUGACGAGCCUUUAUCAGCCGGUUUAAUGACUAUAUGUUUUGUAUGCAUUAAUUCUCGUAAGGCUUUUACUUCUUCUACAGACAUAUUGUAUUUUUCAGUAGUCGGUAAGUAGUGUUUUUUUAUUGUCUGCCAAUCUUUUUGUAUUAAUUGUCCCACUUCUGGUGGUAAUUUAUCCAUAGGUGGUUUCCAAUCAGAAGAGCCUGUAAAUGGUGGUCUCUCCUUACCCAUCGAAUCCUUAAAGACUUAGAGGCUGACCAAGUUUAAAGUCUUCCCCCAGUGGUCAAGCAUAGCGGUCGCCGUUUCUUUUGUCCAGUGGAUUCCAUCCUCCUCCACCUGGAAUUGGUCCUCAGGUAAGAGAGGAAGAUCUUCUGGUGGUACCGUUUUCUCCAUCAGUUGGGAUUGUGGUGGUAUGAUGCGAGUGGAGGACUCCGGGAGAACCUCCUCCUCUUCUACCUCUUCAUCUGCCCGCCAUUGGUUCAAUACCUGGGUAUUGUUUCGUCAACAGGUUCCAUUUGAGGUCUCACAAUGAGAUCCUCUUCCACGCCACCUUGGAGCCAGGAUUCUACCCUAGCCUUUCGUGAGGUCCUCGGCGUCUCUAUAAAUUUUUCCAUUGGAGAUCGAUGCACUAAAGCUCCAUCUGUGAUCUCUGGUAGCCUCAGUGUCAUGAUAUCGUCAUCGUCUGAUGUUCCCAUGAGUGUCAUUUCAGGUCUCUCCAAUAUGCUAACCUCCUGAGGAGAUUCAGUUCCGAUCGGUGUCGUGUUUUGAAUCGGCCCAGUGGGGACCAUGGGCGUCGGCUGUGAUUCUGGCACAUUCUGGAUCACUGGUGCAAUAUUCUGGAUCACCGGUGCAAUAUUUUGUAUAGCCUGCUCUACGGGUGGGCUCCGGGGAUGAAUUUUUUCUUUAAUCAAAUUCUCCGUUUGAUCAAUCACCUGUUGUUUCACAUGUGGUAAUUUAUUCUUGGCCCAUCUGAUUGCCACCGUGUAGGCCUUUUUCCAGUCCGGGGUAAUAAAAUCCACAAUUUCAUUGAGCCAUUCCUCCAGGCAAGCCUGGUAGUGUUGAAAUAAUAUCAAACAUGUGGUAUAGCCCCAAUUUUUUGCGUUUCCCAUGAUGAGGUCCAUUGUUUGGCCUUUGGGGAAUGCCGGGUUAAUCAUCCCCAUUAAUACCUCGACCAUUCUUUCGAUCAUCUUGGGUUGUGGUUUCCCCCCUGUUGGGUCCACAUUCUGUAAGUGGUGUACCACUUUCAGAAUAUUAUACAAUUUUUGGACCAGCCUUUUAAACCUGGGGUCAGCCGGUUGUAGCCCUCUUUCAAAUCCCCCAUUCCUUUGGGGAGGUCUCCUUGGGUCUGGUCCCAUCCAACCACGGCUCACUGCGGCCGCAUAUGAAUAAGGACGGGAAUCCGGUUUACGGAAAGACCAUGGGGGAGGCACUGGCGGGUUAGGAAAUUGAGGCUGAACCCUUCCACCCCGAUGGUCAAAUGCCACCGGCCGACCGCCGGAGCGAAAGGGAGGUGCACUGGCCUUCCACCCCUGGAAUCUCCCUCCACCUUGAUUCCCAACUCCCGUCUGAUAUCCAUUCUGGCCUCGGCGACCAUACCGGGCCACUGUCCAUCCCUCAUCCAUCAUUUUGUUGUAGAUUUACGUAAUUUUUAUUUUUAUGAACUCUUUUUUUGUUUUUUUAUAUUUUUUAUUUUUGUAAUUUUUUUGUUGUUAUAGUAUAUAUUUUUGUAAUGUUUUUGUAUAUUUUGUUGUAUUUUUUCAGUUUUUAUUGUUUUUGUAUCCGUUUCUUAGUUUUCUGUCCUUGUCAUAAAGUUACUGAUUUUCCUGUCGCCUUUGCUAUAUAAUUAAUCAAUGUUCUAUUGUCUAGUCUAUAAAUUGUAUGUUCUACAAUGAACUAUCAGGUAUAGUAUUGAUAAUGUAUUGUAAAGAUGCCAAAAGAAUAUUUUUUUCAAAAAAAAUUUUUUUAAUAAAGAAAUAAAAAAUAAUAAAGAAACUAUCAAACAAAAGUUGUUUUCAUUCAAUUGUACUUGUAUUUAUCCAAUUAUAUGUUUGUGUGUGCCAACAACAACGUUUCGGCUUAUGUCAAGCCUUCUUCAGGUUUUAGCACACAAUUUCUAUGAUCCUACUGUUGUAGCAAGAGCUGUUACUCGUUCAAAAACAAACAUGAAAUGACCGGAUUUGGCUGGUUCCCUAUUUAUAGCCUCUGUCUCAGUGACUCCUCCUUCGUCUUUACCAGCGUAUUUAUUCCAAUGCCCUUCAUUCACCAGUCUUAUUCUUAUGUGCAAUUAGUGUAAAUAGUGUAUAUAUAUAUAUAUAUGUUUUUAAUUAAUUAAUUAAUUAAUUUAAUCCUGUAUAUAGUAUGUUAGUGAUUAUUAUUUAGUUUUUUAACUCUUUAAUUCUAGAAUUCCUUAAAUAAACAAAUGAAUAACUGAUCGAUUAUAGAAUUGAAAUUAGGGUUAAUUAGGGUUAAUUAGGGUUAAUUGAAAAUUAGGUUGAGUCAAUUUUAGUGUUAUCAUCAAUUAGGGUGGGAUCAAAUGGUUAAGGUUAGGGUAAGGUUAGAAUUAGGAUUAAUCCAAUUAGGGUUGAGUGUGAUUAGGAUUAAUUAAAAAUUAGGGUUAACAAAUGGUUAAGGUUAGGGUUAAAUCAAAGUUAGGGUUAGUAAAUCUAGGGUUGGGAUUAAUUUAACAUUGGGUAAACUAGGGUUACUUACAAUUAGGGUUAACCAAUCAAGGGUUAACUAAAAUUAGGGUUGGAUGAAAUGGUUAAGAUUAGGGUUAGAUUAGAAGUUGGAUCAAUUAAAUUAUGAUUAUAUUAAUUUAACAUUGGGUAAACUAGGGUUACUUACAAUUAGGGUUAACCAAUUAAGGGUUGACUGAAAUUAGGGUUGGAUGAAAUGGUUAAGAUUAGGGUUAGAUUAGAAAUUGGAGUCAUUGAAUUAUGGUUAAGUGGAAUUAGGGUAAAAUUAAAAUUAGGGUGGACAAAUGGUUAAGGUUAGGGUAAGGUUAAAAUUAGGAUUAAUCCAAUUAGGGUUGAGUGUGAUUAGGAUUAAUUAAAAAUUAGGGUUAACAAAUGGUUAAGGUUAGGGUUAAAUCAAAGUUAGGGUUAGUAAAUCUAGGGUUGGGAUUAGGUUAACAUUGGGUAAACUAGGGUUACUUACAGUUUGGUGAAAUGGUUAAGGUUAGGGUUAAAUUAGAAUUUGGAUUAGUUGAAUUAGGGUUAAAUGGAAUCAGGGUAUAAUUAAAAUUUAAAUUAGGGUGAAGAUUAGAGUUAAAUUAGAAUUAGGAUUAUUUAGGGUUAACUGAAUUUAGGUUGGGAUCAAAUGGUUAGGUUAAAUAAGCAGUAAUAUGCAUGUGUAUCUAAAUAAAUUUUCUAAUCCUAAAAAAUGUUUUUGUAAUUUUCUUCUGUCAAUUGUCCCUCAUAAUUUCAACCCAUCUUUUUAUUUAACCCAUAUGGUUGUUUUGUCGCUAAUUUAUGUAUCCAUUGUCUUUCUCUACAUUUUCUUUCUAAAUCUGUCCAAUUAAAGUUUUUUUGUAAUCCAGCCAUUCGUAAUGACUCUAAUCCAUGUAUUAGGAAAUGCUGUACCAGGGGUGUGUCCAUUUCUUUUUUAUUUUUAAUAUUAUACCUAUGCUGUGUAAUUCGUGCUGAUAACGAAUUCUUUGUUUCCCCUACAUAUUUAAUCCCACAUUUAUUACAAAUUAUUAAAUAAAUACAAUUUGUGGACCUCGCAGUAAAUGUUUGUUCAAUUUUUAUGAUAGUUUUCUCCACUGUGUUUUUGAUAAAUUUUAGUUUCAACAAUUGUUUAUCUAGUAAUAAUUGUUUUUGUGUUAAUAGUGAUGGUAAUUUGGCUCUGACUAACAAAUCUUUCAAAUUCUUAUUCCUCCUAUAUGCCGAGAUUAUGUUAAAUUUUGGGAUUCCUGUAGUCGUUUCCGAAAUUUCCUGCAAAUUUCGUUUUAUUUUAUUGUGUAGUACCUUGCCUACUGUACAGAAAUUUGUAAUGAGAGGAAUAACAUUUUCUUUCGUUUGUUUUUUGUUGAGAAAUGUUUUCAGAUGAUUUCUUAAAUAUGAUCUCGAAUACCCUCUUUUUCGUAGGGUAUCAAAUAAGAUCUUCACCGCUUCCCUAAAAUCCUCCUCCCUCGUGCAGAUUCGGUGAAAGCGCAGAAUCUGGGAUUUUACAAUUCCUUUAAAAGUAUGAUUUGGAUGGAAGCUAAAUUUAUGCAAUAAUGCGUGAGUAUCUGUUGCCUUGAAAUACACUUUAAUAUCCAAUCGAUGAUUUUCCUGAAAAUUGGGUCCCUUAAAUAUUGUAGUAUCUAAAAAGUCAAUAGAAUUUUGCUUAAUUUCUGCUUUAAGUUUAAUUGAUGGAUCCUGUGAAUUUAGUGUUUCCUUGAAAUUUUCAAAUUCUUGUUUAGUCCCUAUCCAUAAUCCCCAAAUGUCGUCCAAAUACCGUAGAUAACUAGCCGGUUUCUUUUCACAUUUGGCCAGUGCUUUUUCUUCCCAGUUGGCCAUAAAAAUAUUGGCAUAUGCUGGAGCAAAUUUUUUACCCAUUGCUGUUCCCUUAAUUUGCAAAUAAUAUUUUUCAUUGAAUACAAAGUCAUUUCUAGUUAAAUUAAUUUCUAAUAAUUGUAAUAAUUCAUCAUCUGGUCUGUUUGGAUCUGGGUAUUUCUGGAAAAUUUGUUUUACACAUUCAAUUCCUGCCGGAAUAGGAAUAUUUGUAUAUAAACUGUUAACAUCCAUCGAAAAAAACCAAAAGUCCGAGGUUAUUGUAACGUCUUUUACCAUCUCUAUAAAAUGGUAUGUGUCUCUCACAUAGGAUGGAUGUUUGAUCGAAAGUGGAUUUAGAUAAUGAUCCAAAUAUUCUGCGGUGAAAUAUGUAUCACUCCCACAGUCUGAUACUAUGGGUCUCCCUGGGGGAAUUUCAAAUGGAAUUGUCCAUUUCUCCGGACUUUUAUGAAUUUUUGGGAGAAUAUAAAAUCUCCUCUCUCUUGGUUCUGAGGUUCCAAGUAGGUACUGUUUUUGUUUUCCAUUGAUAAAUUUUUUCUUUUUUAGAUUGUUUAUAAUUUCCUUUAUUUUUGGUAGUGUUUCUCUAUAAAUGGGUUUUUCCAAUUUUUUGUAAUAUUCUGUGUCAUUCAAUUGUCUUUCUACUUCCAUUAUAUAUUGUUCUCUACUUAGAAUCACUACUGACGAGCCUUUAUCAGCCGGUUUAAUGACUAUAUGUUUUGUAUGCAUUAAUUCUCGUAAGGCUUUUACUUCUUCUACAGACAUAUUGUAUUUUUCAGUAGUCGGUAAGUAGUGUUUUUUUAUUGUCUGCCAAUCUUUUUGUAUUAAUUGUCCCACUUCUGGUGGUAAUUUAUCCAUAGGUGGUUUCCAAUCAGAAGAGCCUGUAAAUGGUGGUCUCUCCUUACCCAUCGAAUCCUUAAAGACUUAGAGGCUGACCAAGUUUAAAGUCUUCCCCCAGUGGUCAAGCAUAGCGGUCGCCGUUUCUUUUGUCCAGUGGAUUCCAUCCUCCUCCACCUGGAAUUGGUCCUCAGAUCUUCUGGUGGUACCGUUUUCUCCAUCAGUUGGGAUUGUGGUGGUAUGAUGCGAGUGGAGGACUCCGGGAGAACCUCCUCCUCUUCUACCUCUUCAUCUGCCCGCCAUUGGUUCAAUACCUGGGUAUUGUUUCGUCAACAGGUUCCAUUUGAGGUCUCACAAUGAGAUCCUCUUCCACGCCACCUUGGAGCCAGGAUUCUACCCUAGCCUUUCGUGAGGUCCUCGGCGUCUCUAUAAAUUUUUCCAUUGGAGAUCGAUGCACUAAAGCUCCAUCUGUGAUCUCUGGUAGCCUCAGUGUCAUGAUAUCGUCAUCGUCUGAUGUUCCCAUGAGUGUCAUUUCAGGUCUCUCCAAUAUGCUAACCUCCUGAGGAGAUUCAGUUCCGAUCGGUGUCGUGUUUUGAAUCGGCCCAGUGGGGACCAUGGGCGUCGGCUGUGAUUCUGGCACAUUCUGGAUCACUGGUGCAAUAUUCUGGAUCACCGGUGCAAUAUUUUGUAUAGCCUGCUCUACGGGUGGGCUCCGGGGAUGAAUUUUUUCUUUAAUCAAAUUCUCCGUUUGAUCAAUCACCUGUUGUUUCACAUGUGGUAAUUUAUUCUUGGCCCAUCUGAUUGCCACCGUGUAGGCCUUUUUCCAGUCCGGGGUAAUAAAAUCCACAAUUUCAUUGAGCCAUUCCUCCAGGCAAGCCUGGUAGUGUUGAAAUAAUAUCAAACAUGUGGUAUAGCCCCAAUUUUUUGCGUUUCCCAUGAUGAGGUCCAUUGUUUGGCCUUUGGGGAAUGCCGGGUUAAUCAUCCCCAUUAAUACCUCGACCAUUCUUUCGAUCAUCUUGGGUUGUGGUUUCCCCCCUGUUGGGUCCACAUUCUGUAAGUGGUGUACCACUUUCAGAAUAUUAUACAAUUUUUGGACCAGCCUUUUAAACCUGGGGUCAGCCGGUUGUAGCCCUCUUUCAAAUCCCCCAUUCCUUUGGGGAGGUCUCCUUGGGUCUGGUCCCAUCCAACCACGGCUCACUGCGGCCGCAUAUGAAUAAGGACGGGAAUCCGGUUUACGGAAAGACCAUGGGGGAGGCACUGGCGGGUUAGGAAAUUGAGGCUGAACCCUUCCACCCCGAUGGUCAAAUGCCACCGGCCGACCGCCGGAGCGAAAGGGAGGUGCACUGGCCUUCCACCCCUGGAAUCUCCCUCCACCUUGAUUCCCAACUCCCGUCUGAUAUCCAUUCUGGCCUCGGCGACCAUACCGGGCCACUGUCCAUCCCUCAUCCAUCAUUUUGUUGUAGAUUUACGUAAUUUUUAUUUUUAUGAACUCUUUUUUUGUUUUUUUAUAUUUUUUAUUUUUGUAAUUUUUUUGUUGUUAUAGUAUAUAUUUUUGUAAUGUUUUUGUAUAUUUUGUUGUAUUUUUUCAGUUUUUAUUGUUUUUGUAUCCGUUUCUUAGUUUUCUGUCCUUGUCAUAAAGUUACUGAUUUUCCUGUCGCCUUUGCUAUAUAAUUAAUCAAUGUUCUAUUGUCUAGUCUAUAAAUUGUAUGUUCUACAAUGAACUAUCAGGUAUAGUAUUGAUAAUGUAUUGUAAAGAUGCCAAAAGAAUAUUUUUUUCAAAAAAAAUUUUUUUAAUAAAGAAAUAAAAAAUAAUAAAGAAACUAUCAAACAAAAGUUGUUUUCAUUCAAUUGUACUUGUAUUUAUCCAAUUAUAUGUUUGUGUGUGCCAACAACAACGUUUCGGCUUAUGUCAAGCCUUCUUCAGGUUUUAGCACACAAUUUCUAUGAUCCUACUGUUGUAGCAAGAGCUGUUACUCGUUCAAAAACAAACAUGAAAUGACCGGAUUUGGCUGGUUCCCUAUUUAUAGCCUCUGUCUCAGUGACUCCUCCUUCGUCUUUACCAGCGUAUUUAUUCCAAUGCCCUUCAUUCACCAGUCUUAUUCUUAUGUGCAAUUAGUGUAAAUAGUGUAUAUAUAUGUUUUUAAUUAAUUAAUUAAUUAAUUUAAUCCUGUAUAUAGUAUGUUAGUGAUUAUUAUUUAGUUUUUUAACUCUUUAAUUCUAGAAUUCCUUAAAUAAACAAAUGAAUAACUGAUCGAUUAUAGAAUUGAAAUUAGGGUUAAUUAGGGUUAAUUAGGGUUAAUUGAAAAUUAGGUUGAGUCAAUUUUAGUGUUAUCAUCAAUUAGGGUGGGAUCAAAUGGUUAAGGUUAGGGUAAGGUUAGAAUUAGGAUUAAUCCAAUUAGGGUUGAGUGUGAUUAGGAUUAAUUAAAAAUUAGGGUUAACAAAUGGUUAAGGUUAGGGUUAAAUCAAAGUUAGGGUUAGUAAAUCUAGGGUUGGGAUUAAUUUAACAUUGGGUGAACUAGGGUUACUUACAAUUAGGGUUAACCAAUCAAGGGUUAACUAAAAUUAGGGUUGGAUGAAAUGGUUAAGAUUAGGGUUAGAUUAGAAGUUGGAUCAAUUAAAUUAUGAUUAUAUUAAUUUAACAUUGGGUAAACUAGGGUUACUUACAAUUAGGGUUAACCAAUUAAGGGUUGACUGAAAUUAGGGUUGGAUGAAAUGGUUAAGAUUAGGGUUAGAUUAGAAAUUGGAGUCAUUGAAUUAUGGUUAAGUGGAAUUAGGGUAAAAUUAAAAUUAGGGUGGACAAAUGGUUAAGGUUAGGGUAAGGUUAAAAUUAGGAUUAAUCCAAUUAGGGUUGAGUGUGAUUAGGAUUAAUUAAAAAUUAGGGUUAACAAAUGGUUAAGGUUAGGGUUAAAUCAAAGUUAGGGUUAGUAAAUCUAGGGUUGGGAUUAGGUUAACAUUGGGUAAACUAGGGUUACUUACAGUUUGGUGAAAUGGUUAAGGUUAGGGUUAAAUUAGAAUUUGGAUUAGUUGAAUUAGGGUUACAUGGAAUCAGGGUAUAAUUAAAAUUUAAAUUAGGGUGAAGAUUAGAGCUAAAUUAGAAUUAGGAUUAUUUAGGGUUAACUGAAUUUAGGUUGGGAUCAAAUGGUUAGGUUAAAUAAGCAGUAAUAUGCAUGUGUAUCUAAAUAAAUUUUCUAAUCCUAAAAAAUGUUUUUGUCAUUUUCUUCUGUCAAUUGUCCCUCAUAAUUUCAACCCAUCUUUUUAUUUAACCCAUAUGGUUGUUUUGUCGCUAAUUUAUGUAUCCAUUGUCUUUCUCUACAUUUUCUUUCUAAAUCUGUCCAAUUAAAGUUUUUUUGUAAUCCAGCCAUUCGUAAUGACUCUAAUCCAUGUAUUAGGAAAUGCUGUACCAGGGGUGUGUCCAUUUCUUUUUUAUUUUUAAUAUUAUACCUAUGCUGUGUAAUUCGUGCUGAUAACGAAUUCUUUGUUUCCCCUACAUAUUUAAUCCCACAUUUAUUACAAAUUAUUAAAUAAAUACAAUUUGUGGACCUCGCAGUAAAUGUUUGUUCAAUUUUUAUGAUAGUUUUCUCCACUGUGUUUUUGAUAAAUUUUAGUUUCAACAAUUGUUUAUCUAGUAAUAAUUGUUUUUGUGUUAAUAGUGAUGGUAAUUUGGCUCUGACUAACAAAUCUUUCAAAUUCUUAUUCCUCCUAUAUGCCGAGAUUAUGUUAAAUUUUGGGAUUCCUGUAGUCGUUUCCGAAAUUUCCUGCAAAUUUCGUUUUAUUUUAUUGUGUAGUACCUUGCCUACUGUACAGAAAUUUGUAAUGAGAGGAAUAACAUUUUCUUUCGUUUGUUUUUUGUUGAGAAAUGUUUUCAGAUGAUUUCUUAAAUAUGAUCUCGAAUACCCUCUUUUUCGUAGGGUAUCAAAUAAGAUCUUCACCGCUUCCCUAAAAUCCUCCUCCCUCGUGCAGAUUCGGUGAAAGCGCAGAAUCUGGGAUUUUACAAUUCCUUUAAAAGUAUGAUUUGGAUGGAAGCUAAAUUUAUGCAAUAAUGCGUGAGUAUCUGUUGCCUUGAAAUACACUUUAAUAUCCAAUCGAUGAUUUUCCUGAAAAUUGGGUCCCUUAAAUAUUGUAGUAUCUAAAAAGUCAAUAGAAUUUUGCUUAAUUUCUGCUUUGAGUUUAAUUGAUGGAUCCUGUGAAUUUAGUGUUUCCUUGAAAUUUUCAAAUUCUUGUUUAGUCCCUAUCCAUAAUCCCCAAAUGUCGUCCAAAUACCGUAGAUAACUAGCCGGUUUCUUUUCACAUUUGGCCAGUGCUUUUUCUUCCCAGUUGGCCAUAAAAAUAUUGGCAUAUGCUGGAGCAAAUUUUUUACCCAUUGCUGUUCCCUUAAUUUGCAAAUAAUAUUUUUCAUUGAAUACAAAGUCAUUUCUAGUUAAAUUAAUUUCUAAUAAUUGUAAUAAUUCAUCAUCUGGUCUGUUUGGAUCUGGGUAUUUCUGGAAAAUUUGUUUUACACAUUCAAUUCCUGCCGGAAUAGGAAUAUUUGUAUAUAAACUGUUAACAUCCAUCGAAAAAAACCAAAAGUCCGAGGUUAUUGUAACGUCUUUUACCAUCUCUAUAAAAUGGUAUGUGUCUCUCACAUAGGAUGGAUGUUUGAUCGAAAGUGGAUUUAGAUAAUGAUCCAAAUAUUCUGCGGUGAAAUAUGUAUCACUCCCACAGUCUGAUACUAUGGGUCUCCCUGGGGGAAUUUCAAAUGGAAUUGUCCAUUUCUCCGGACUUUUAUGAAUUUUUGGGAGAAUAUAAAAUCUCCUCUCUCUUGGUUCUGAGGUUCCAAGUAGGUACUGUUUUUGUUUUCCAUUGAUAAAUUUUUUCUUUUUUAGAUUGUUUAUAAUUUCCUUUAUUUUUGGUAGUGUUUCUCUAUAAAUGGGUUUUUCCAAUUUUUUGUAAUAUUCUGUGUCAUUCAAUUGUCUUUCUACUUCCAUUAUAUAUUGUUCUCUACUUAGAAUCACUACUGACGAGCCUUUAUCAGCCGGUUUAAUGACUAUAUGUUUUGUAUGCAUUAAUUCUCGUAAGGCUUUUACUUCUUCUACAGACAUAUUGUAUUUUUCAGUAGUCGGUAAGUAGUGUUUUUUUAUUGUCUGCCAAUCUUUUUGUAUUAAUUGUCCCACUUCUGGUGGUAAUUUAUCCAUAGGUGGUUUCCAAUCAGAAGAGCCUGUAAAUGGUGGUCUCUCCUUACCCAUCGAAUCCUUAAAGACUUAGAGGCUGACCAAGUUUAAAGUCUUCCCCCAGUGGUCAAGCAUAGCGGUCGCCGUUUCUUUUGUCCAGUGGAUUCCAUCCUCCUCCACCUGGAAUUGGUCCUCAGGUAAGAGAGGAAGGUAACCCACAUUCUUCUGAAUAUGGUCAUUCAAUGUUCGCAGAUUGUCCUGUUCCUCUGUCGGAAGAUUUAGCGAGUAAUUAAUCAGAGGAACCCAAAUUUCUGCGUACGGGAACCUCUUUUUCGUUGUUCUAAUCACCGCUUGUACAUUUUUAACUGUCGUUUCUUUUGAUUUAUUCAGUCUGCUGUUUAUGCCGAAUGACAAUAUCACUUUUUCUAUCACCAGAUCUUCUGGUGGUACCGUUUUCUCCAUCAGGUAAUGUCCAUGCCGGAAAUGACUUCCCGGGUAACUUUCAAUUUGUACGUUUCCGUAUGGAUGAUCCGGUAUUCGACUCAAAUUAGAGUCCCCCAUAAUUAGCCACUUCUUCGAUACUGACAAAUUCCAUUCCACUAACUUCCUCUGCGUGUUGGGAUGUCUAUUAACCCUAUAUAGUUGGGAUUGUGGUGGUAUGAUGCGAGUGGAGGACUCCGGGAGAACCUCCUCCUCUUCUACCUCUUCAUCUGCCCGCCAUUGGUUCAAUACCUGGGUAUUGUUUCGUCAACAGGUUCCAUUUGAGGUCUCACAAUGAGAUCCUCUUCCACGCCACCUUGGAGCCAGGAUUCUACCCUAGCCUUUCGUGAGGUCCUCGGCGUCUCUAUAAAUUUUUCCAUUGGAGAUCGAUGCACUAAAGCUCCAUCUGUGAUCUCCGGUAGCCUCAGUGUCAUGAUAUCGUCAUCGUCUGAUGUUCCCAUGAGUGUCAUUUCAGGUCUCUCCAAUAUGCUAACCUCCUGAGGAGAUUCAGUUCCGAUCGGUGUCGUGUUUUGAAUCGGCCCAGUGGGGACCAUGGGCGUCGGCUGUGAUUCUGGCACAUUCUGGAUCACUGGUGCAAUAUUCUGGAUCACCGGUGCAAUAUUUUGUAUAGCCUGCUCUACGGGUGGGCUCCGGGGAUGAAUUUUUUCUUUAAUCAACUUCUCCGUUUGAUCAAUCACCUGUUGUUUCACAUGUGGUAAUUUAUUCUUGGCCCAUCUGAUUGCCACCGUGUAGGCCUUUUUCCAGUCCGGGGUAAUAAAAUCCACAAUUUCAUUGAGCCAUUCCUCCAGGCAAGCCUGGUAGUGUUGAAAUAGUAUCAAACAUGUGGUAUAGCCCCAAUUUUUUGCGUUUCCCAUGAUGAGGUCCAUUGUUUGGCCUUUGGGGAAUGCCGGGUUAAUCAUCCCCAUUAAUACCUCGACCAUUCUUUCGAUCAUCUUGGGUUGUGGUUUCCCCCCUGUUGGGUCCACAUUCUGUAAGUGGUGUACCACUUUCAGAAUAUUAUACAAUUUUUGGACGAGCCUUUUAAACCUGGGGUCAGCCGGUUGUGGCCCUCUUUCAAAUCCCCCAUUCCUUUGGGGAGGUCUCCUUGGGUCUGGUCCCAUCCAACCACGGCUCACUGCGGCCGCAUAUGAAUAAGGACGGGAAUCCGGUUUACGGAAAGACCAUGGGGGAGGCACUGGCGGGUUAGGAAAUUGAGGCUGAACCCUUCCACCCCGAUGGUCAAAAGCCACCGGCCGACCGCCGGAGCGAAAGGGAGGUGCACUGGCCUUCCACCCCUGGAAUCUCCCUCCACCUUGAUUCCCAACUCCCGUCUGAUAUCCAUUCUGGCCUCGGCGACCAUACCGGGCCACUGUCCAUCCCUCAUCCAUCAUUUUGUUGUAGAUUUACGUAAUUUUUAUUUUUAUGAACUCUUUUUUUGUUUUUUUAUAUUUUUUAUUUUUGUAAUUUUUUUGUUGUUAUAGUAUAUAUUUUUUGUAAU